UCUCUUAUAUGUGUUCUCAAAGAAUUUGGUACUCAGCACUUGGAUUUUUUAUCUGAACCUAUCAUCUCAAAGCCUUGGGUAGAACACAAGCAAUUGUGAGAUAGAGCUAUUUGCUACACCGUUUAGAAAACAGAACUGAUAAACUCUCGGUAGUACCUAUAUUGAUUAGCUAUGUGCUUACCUGUAAGUUCUUUGCGAAUUAUUGUAAUUCUUGGUACAUCAAGGUUUAAAUAAUGAAAAUGAGAACUACAUGUUGAGCAUUGCUUAUAAUGAAAACGUACGUCCAUGGUUUAAAGAAGCUUUAUUGUUUCAGUCUAUACUGAAGCUUAUAUUGUUCCCCGGUUGAUCUAGACAUCAAAUAUUUUAAGCUUCCUUUUUCUGAGCCAAUGGGCGAACUAAGAAAGGGAAAUUCGUUCCUUAAAUAGUAGUGGCAUUUUACUACGCAGAUAAUACCGACAAUUUCUCAAAUGAGUCAGCAUUAUCAUUCAGUCAGUAGGUUACUAAAUAAAGCCGGAGUUCGCAUGGAGCACCAACGAUAACCUCAAGCAGAUGCAUCGAGACAGGCAAAUCAGAGUUUAUGGCACCCGAACUCUUCACUGGCAAUUUUAACGAGUUGGUGGACAUAUAUUCGUUUUGGAUGUGCAUGCCUGAAAUGAAAAGAAAAUGAUGGAAAAGUCUUGGACCUUGCUUAAUGCUUGGAACUACACCUUUCCAAACAUCCUUCUUGCUUGAUGCCAAGAGGAUUUCUCCAAGAGAUUGGAACUAUGUUCCUCUGCAGUUCUCCAUUCAGACAUUUCUAUGGUUAGAGCUUUCUUCUGACAAAAUUGUGCUGGUGUCUGGUUGUAAAACGUAUUUCCUAUUACAGCUGAGAAAGAGAGUAAGUAAAAAGGGUAAGCCAAGGGCUAGCUAAAAUUCCAAAAGGACUAUUUCCUGAGGUAUUUGUCGCCGGCCAACCUGUCAUCAACCCAGGGUUGGUCGCUUGAACGACAUUCACUUCGAGGGAGUUUUGAUUAAAAGUUUGUGACUUGUCAUGCAUGGAACAUGCAUCUUUUGUUAACAUUUUCAUUGCAUUAUAUAUUAUAUAAAAGCGACAAAGUAGUGUUCUGGUCAUUGCUUUAGUAAAACAAAUAUACGUAGUAUAUGGUUAUGAAGUUGAAUGAAUGCUCAAUGGUCGGUUCAAGACUUCAAGAAAUUCAUAAUUUGUUCUGUGUGUUUUGAUUAAAAUGUGACCUAGCUCAGUUGCCAGACUGUGGAUAGAGGGAUGUAUGGCCACCACUUUGCCGGAAUACCAACAGUUAGCCAUUUUUUUGGGUAUAGCUAUCAACUAGAAUCCACAGCUUCACAUUUCUCUUUGUUCAAAUGUUCUCUAAAUACAUGUAACUUAUAUGGCACAAUUUCGAUGCCACUUGUAAGUUGUAACUUCACAUGAUUUGGUGAUUUGUCAAAGAAUGACGGUGUCGGAGAAGACGAGGGGGGAGGGGGCACUGAGCCAACAAAGGAGGCGGCUAUGGUAGGGCGAGUCGAUGAGGUGUAACACGUUAGCACUACUACGGGAGGGGAUCAAGGCAGAGAGUUGAGUGGUUGGUAGGGGACUUCUCGGCGGUCCGUGGGGAAGCACGGUGUGAAGGAGAGAGGGCACCAUAGCGAAGGUGAGGUGGGCAUUAUCCGGUUUUAAAGAAGAGGACUCCAGCGAGAAAUGCCUUGCUACAGAGGGAAACCGAGCGUGAAGGGCAGAUUUCGACAGGAAAUGGGAAGGGUGCAUCGCGGGGUGGUUUAGAUUCAGGGGAGCCCAAAAUGUCUAGAUGGUUGAAUUUUGGGAGCCUGCUGGGAGUCCAUUUGAUGUCCGGACACGUUCAAACAUAUGAGAAAGAGUGUGUUAGCAGUGGGUAUAUCUGAAGAUUAUUUCUCAACUCGGCAUGUGGGUAGAGACUAAAAAGACGAUGCCAUGGUAGCAUGGCAGACCUGGCAAGUGCCACGAACAUCAUGAUAUUCUUCCUUUCCUUAAUUCCUUGAUUUGAAAAAUAAUUUGCUCGUGUGAAGCUGUACAUAGCAGUCGGGCAAACGACACUUUGGCAUCUUGAUCUAUCAAGGAAAAUAUAUUUUUUACUUUAGAAAAUGUGGGUUCAGAUUGGUCUGUUGAGUUAUGGCUGGUUGAUCGGAAUAAUUUUUCUAUUUAAAUAAUGUAGCAAAUAGCAUUUCAUUAGAGAUUGUCCGUUGAGUUAUGGCUGGCUGAUCGGAAUAAUUUUCCUAUUUAAAAAUGUAGCAAAUAGCAUUUCAUUAGAGAUGGCUUUGCAGCAAAUUGCAAAUCACGCAAACCAAGCCAUCAUCGCCUCGUCGCUCUCGCUGGGAGCGACAACAACUGCCGGUUUCUUCUUCGCCUUCUUAGCCGGCAUCUCCUCCAUCCGGAUGCCCUGCGGCACGAGCCACUUCACCACCGCCUGGGACUCGACCUCCAGGAAGUUUAGGUCCGU